GGGGGUGUAAUUAACACGCUUUCAUUUUGAAUUCCAUAUAAGAUAAAAAGUUUACAUUUUUCUGUUCUAACAAGAUAUAUGUGAUUAAAUAGAGCUACUAAACGGUUUUCUGCUGAGUGUGAGGGAAAAGAAUAUCUUUGAGAAACGUCGACAGGAGAACUACCUGGACUACGUGGAUUAGGAAAUGACGUUGAUUUUGAGACCUGAAUAUAUAGUUACAUACCCGCUUAUACUACUCCGCUUUCACCAUAUUAUUGCCGAAGUUUAUUCCUAUUACCCAUGAGAGGAGGGGGUAUUAUGCACCAUCUCCUCAUUUAAGCUGCUGCCCCAAUUGAUGAAGCCAUUGCAUUGAAGUCGCCAAACUGUUCAACGUUAUAUUUUUCUACACCGAGAAGUGGUUUAAUAUAACGACCUGCAUCAAUCUCGAUUCUCUCAUUGCUUGAAGCGUCCGCUCUUCAUUGCAUUGAUUGACAUUUGGGAGAGAUGAAUGGAGACUGUCGGUACGUUUCUUGUACUGCUUCACAGAGCGAGGAUGAAAUCGGGGUGAGGGAAUCCUGUAAACGUUCUUACUUCUACUUAAAGGGAUUUUUGCGGA